CCCGCACAAGCAGCGGAGCGUGUGGUUUAAUUCGAUGUUACACGAAGAACCUUACCAGGGUUUGACAUGCAAGUGGUAGGAAGCCGAAAGGUGACCGACCCUUCGGGGAGCUUGCACAGGUGCUGCAUGGCUGUCGUCAGCUCGUGUCGUGAGAUGUUCGGUUAAAUCCGCUAACGAGCGCAACCCUCGCUGUGUGUUAUAUGUGUCACACGGGACUGCCGGUCUUAAGCCGGAGGAAGGUGGGGAUGAUGUCAAGUCAGCAUGGCCUUUAUAUCCUGGGCUACACACACGCUACAAUGGCCAACACAAUAGGUUGCUAAGCCGCGAGGUGGCGCCAAUCCAUAAAGUUGGUCUCAGUUCAGAUUGUAGGCUGCAACCCGCCUGCAUGAAGAUGGAGUUGCUAGUAACCGCAGGUCAGCUAUACUGCGGUGAAUACGUUCCCGGGGCUU
rnacentral:rRNA from 1 species